rnacentral:rRNA from 1 species
UUCCAGACUCCUACGGGAGGCAGCAGUGGGGGAUAUUGCACAAUGGGCGCAAGCCUGAUGCAGCGACGCCGCGUGAGCGAAGAAGUAUUUCGGUAUGUAAAGCUCUAUCAGCAGGGAAGAAAAUGACGGUACCUGACUAAGAAGCUCCGGCUAAAUACGUGCCAGCAGCCGCGGUAAUACGUAGGGGGCGAGCGUUAUCCGGAUUCACUGGGUGUAAAGGGAGCGUAGACGGCCAUGCAAGCCAGGGGUGAAAGCCCGGGGGCCAACCCCGGGACUGCCCUUGGAACUGCAUGGCUGGAGUGCGGGAGGGGCAGGCGGAAUUCCUGGUGUAGCGGUGAAAUGCGUAGAUAUCAGGAGGAACACCGGCGGCGAAGGCGGCCUGCUGGACCGCGACUGACGUUGAGGCUCGAAAGCGUGGGGAGCGAACAGGAUUAGAUACCCUAGUAC